AGUAGGUUCAAAAUAAAUGGAUGGAAACAGACCACACAAGCAGUAACCAAGGGAGAGCUGAAGUAGCUAUACUAACAUCAGAUGACGUAGACUUUGAUACAAAAAUUGUUACUGGACAGAAAGAGGAAUACAUUAUAAUGAUAGCAAGGUUAAUAUUAGGAAGAUAUAACCAUUAUAAAUAUAUAUGCCCCUAAUGACCAAAAGUGCAUGCACCAGAAACGGACAGAAUUGAAAGGUAGUAUAGUCAGUUGAACACCAGCAGCAGGAGAUUUCAAUAACCCAUUUCCAUGUGGAUAAAACAACUAAGAGGACCGUCAUCAAGGACACAGACGACUUGACCAGCUCUCUGAACCAGAAAACCUGGAAGACAUACACACAACACUCCCCUCAACCACAGUCUCCAGAACAGACCGUCGUCCAGGCCGUAAAACAAACCUCAGUAAACUAACUUAAAAGGACUGAAAUUAUACAAAAUAUGCUCUCCAAAAAUAGUGAAAUGAAAACAGGCGAUUAAUAGAAGGAGAUUUGGGGAAUUCACAACAAUGUGGAAAUUAAACAGCACACUUCUAAAUAACCAAUGGAUCCAAGGAGAAAUUAUAAGGGAAACGAUAAAGUACUUGAAGCACAGUAUAUAACAACCGUAAGGAAUGCAAGCAGAGCAGUGUUUAGGGCAAAAUAUAUAGCUGUACAUUCCUAUAUUUAACAAGAGGGAAGUUCUCAAAUUUAUAACGUAAACUUUCACCUUAAGAAACUAGAAAAAGAACAAACCAGACCCAAAGCUAAUAGAGGAAAAGAAAUAAAGAUGAGAGAGAAAGUAGAGAGUAGAAAAGUAGCAGAAAAAUCAAUGAAGUCCAAGGUGGCCCUUUUGAAAAGAUCAAAAAAAAAAAAAAAAAAAAGCAAAUCUUUAGUCCAAGAAAAAGAAGAUUCAAAUUACUAAAAUCAGAAACGAAAGAGAGUUGGAGUUCCCAUAGUGGCUCAGCAGUAACCAACCUGACCUGUAUCCAUGAGAACUAGGGUUCGAUCCCUGGCCUUGCUCGGUGGGUUAAAGAUCCGGCAUUGCUGUGAGCUGUGGUGGAGGUCAAAAGACGCAGCUCAGAUCCUGUGUUGCUGUGGCUGUGGUGCAGGCCGGCAGCUAUAGCUCUGAUUUGACCCCUAGGCUGGGAACCUCCAUACGCCGUGGGUGUAGCCCUACCAAAAACACACACCCAAAAGAAAUCUUUCAAGGUAUCGCUAGUGAUCUUAAAGAAAUAAAGAAGGAGCAUAAGGGAAUACUAAAUACUAUGAACACCUGUAUACCAACAAAAUAGAUAAUUUAUAGGAAAUGGAUGAUUAUAUGAAAUGGAUAAAUCCCUAGAAAGGCAUAAACUACAAAAACUAACUCAAGAAAUAGACAACCUGAACAGAUCUCUAGCAGGUAAAUAAAUUAAAUUGGUAAAUUGAAACCUUUUCAUAGAAAAAAGCCUACACAGAGAUAACUUUACUGGUAAAAAUCUAAACACUGAACAAAUUAAUACCAAUUCUUUAUAAACUUUUCCCCAAAAAAUGUAAAAAGAUAAAAUACUUCCUAGUUCAUCCUCUGAGGCUAGUAUCAGCCUCAUACCAAAACCAGAAAAAGAUAUCAUAAGAAAACUAACAUACUGAUAUCCCUUAUAAACACAGAUGCAAAACUUCUCAAAAAGUAGCAAACCAAAUCCAGAAGUAUGUGGAAAGGGUUAUACACCAUGACCAAGUGGGAUUUAUUCUAGGUAUACAGACUUGCUUCACCCUGCUAAAAUCAACCAAUAUGAUACACUGUUUCAAGAAAACAAAGGCCCCAAACCACAUAAUCCUCUCAAUAGCUACAGAAAAAGCAUUCAGGAAAAUCUAAUACUCUUUCAUGAUAACAAGCACUCAGCAAAUUAGGAAUAGGAAACUUUCUCAGUCUGUUAAAUGGCAUUUGUUAAAAACCCGUAGCUAAUAAUCAUGCUAACACAUUUCAUAUUUUAAUACAUUGAAAUGAAAAUAUUUUAGAUACAUUGUGUUCAAUAAAAUAUAUCAUUGAGGUUUUAUUUUAUCUAUUUUGAAUGUGGCUCCUAGGAAAUUUGAAAUAACAGUAUGGCUCAUAUUUCCGGGAUGCAUUUUAUUUCUGUUUGACAGUACUGUUCUGGACCCAGAGUCUCCAGGUUCUGGCAAAUCUGAGUCCUCUUCCCUGCUCUGUAGGACUGGAUGGCUGAGAGGUGAGGGCAGAACAUGAGGAUUGAGAGAUGGGUGGAGAAGUCAGCAGGGGAAGGUGAAGGGUGAAUCAAACGCACUCUUCCUGUGGGCACAGGGGCUUUGUUUUCUUCGCAGCUGUAUCCUCAGUGCCUGGAAUAGUAAAAUGUAAUAGAAUCAAUUUCAGUUAAGAGGAUAGUGUUUGUUGCUAAAUGGUUAUUUAUUUGACAUCUGAUAUUUGCUAUGGGUACAUAGAAUCUAGAAAAUGAGAACACAGUUCAAUGAGCAGCAGACAUGGCAUCUGAUAAUCAUCCAGCCGUGAGACAAGACGCCUCGGAGGACAGGAGGAACCAGGCAGCAGUGGUUGCCAUUUGACAAAACGGGUUUGUUGUUGCAGGGUGAUUUUAGAGUGCAAGACACAGUCUUUGCCUAACAAUUUUUUUUUUUUUCAUAUUUAGGGAAAAUACACUUCUAUCUGAAGUCUGUACUUUAUGUAAAAUCACCUAAUUUCCAAAUGUUGGCACCCGGUUUCAAAUUUUUUUUAAUGUGCCUGUCAAACAAAACCCUCCUGUCCACUGGCUUUGUCCCAGGAGCCCACUAAGUAUUUAGCAGGUAAAGUGGAUACAUACUUCCUUUGACUCCUAAGCUAUCAAAGCAGAGCACUCAACCAGUGCCACACACGAAAAGCCUUCUCAGACAUCUGUGAUGUUCUCUCUCACAAGGUCUCAGUCCAUGUAUUUCUUCUUAGCAUUGUUACAUUUGCAGUCCACAUCUGUGUGAUUAUUUAAUUCACUGUCUCUUCCAUGGAACAUCCAGAAGCUCCCCAUGGAUGGGGCUGGAUCUGUUUUUACUAGCCAGUAAUUACUAACAAAAUGAAUGAAUGAAGUAGGCAGGAGAGAUUAAUUUGAAAUGCAUUCUGGGAGUUGCCAUUGUGGCUCAGUCGUUAAGGAAUCCAUCUAGGAACCAUGAGGUUUCAGGUUCGAUCCCUGGCCUCAGUGGGUUGGGGAUCUGGCGUUGGCGUGGGCUGUGGCGUAGGUCGCACAUGCGGCUCGGAUCCUGCGUUGCUGUGGCUCUGGCAUAGGCCAGUGGCUACAACUCCGAUUUGACCCCUGGCCUGGGAACCUCCGCAGGCCGCAGGUGGGGCCCUAGAAAAAGAUUAAAAAGACAAAAAAAAAAAAAAAAAAAAAAAGAAAUGCGUUCUAUAGUUAAAAGUGUAUACUGUCUCACUUGGAAUUCUGUGUUGAAAGAUUGAGUCCAACAGCAAGUUGUUUUGUUGGCUCUAAGGAAAGAUGACUUUUUUUCCCUGCUAUGUAGACAUUUCAGUGUUAUCUACACUAACAUAUCUCAAAGCAUGUUUCAGAGAAUUCUGGCAUUUGCAGCAGAACACAUUAAUGUCAGUAUUUAUUUGUACUUGGUAAUCCCAAAGUUCUUAUAGUUGACAUUUUAGGCUAUAGCUAAUCCUCUGGACUUAUUGCCUUUCCUGGGAAAAAUGGAAAUAGUGCUUCCCUGGAAUAGUUAUUAAAAAUAUCUUUUUAAGAUUUUGGAUAUUUGUAAAAUUUGAUUAUUUUAAGCUCAGAGGAAUGGGAAAGCUGAAGAAGAACUGGCAAGGAUGACUAGAGCCAACGUUUUCUUAAAAAAAAGGAGGAAAAGAAACAAAAAAUCAGUAAUAAUUCACCAACUUAAAGUUGAAAGAUUUACUGUCAUGCCAAAAUAAAGUAAAGGCCAUAGUGCUGAAACAGAGAGGUCACCUUUUCUAUGCCUUGAGACAGAAUGAAAAGAGAUGCUGGAAAAGUGAGAAGCAGCAGGUGAGGAAAGGAGAGAAAACCACAACCCAUUUUGGUUUUGUGGACAGGUUUUUAACAGAGCUAAACUUCAGCCUUUACAUUUUCAUAAGUUGCAGAAAGGAAAGUCUUAAAGAUUUCUUAAAGUUGAAUCUGUUUGGUUCUAUUUAUAUAACAUUCUCAAAAUGACAACGUUUUUAGCGAUGGAGAGCAGAUUAGUGGUUGCCAGGGGUUAGAGAUGGGGCAGAGGGCUCUGUGAGUUUUUACUUUGUUUAUAUCGAAACUGUGUGUUUAUGAUCAUAAAGAAUUAGGAUUACUUCCUCCUGAUCCUUCCAUCAUUAUGAAGUGACCUUCUUUUUAAUUCCUGGUGAUAAUUGUUAUUAACGGAGCCACUGCAUCUUUGUUUAAUUAGUGUUAUAGCAGGAUAAGCACACUGUCUUCUAUUUACUUCUUAUCUACUUGGAUCUUUCAAUAUAAAAUAGGCAGCAUGUCAUUUUUAUCUUGCGUUUUUAUCCAGUCUGAUGUUGUCUGCGUUUUAAUUGGGAUGUGGUCUGUUUACCUUGUGAUUAUUGAUAUGGUUAGGUUUGAGUCUGUCAUUGUGUCAUUUGUUUUCAUUUGGCUCAUCUGUUCUUAGAACUUCUUUUACUCCUUUUCUGCUUUCUUUCGAAUGGAGGCUUUUUGUGAUUCUAUUUCAUCUCCUUUGCUGUCUUAUUAAUGACAGCAUUUCUUUUGUUUGCUUUGUACUUUCACCGGCCGCCGUAGGGUUUGCUGUACACACAUUUAAAUGAUCACAUCUACCUGCAAGCGAUACAGCGUCACUGCACGCACAGUGUGAGAAACAGGAUGGUAUGUUUUCAUUUCUCCCUUCUUGGGCUUCACGCGAUGGUAGUCAUGUUUUAUUUAUUCAUAUGUUAUAAACCCUGCACUAAGUUGUUGUUCCUGCUGUUUAGUCAGUGAUCUUUAAAGAGAUUUAAAUAAGAAAAAAAUUCUUAUACAUUUACUCCUGCAGUCACCAUUCCCAAUGUUGUGCUCAUUCUUUUAUUUAGAUUCAUAUUUUCAUGAAGUAUAAGGUUCCUUCUAGCAGAACUAGCCUUAGCUUUCCUUGUCCUGUGGUUCCAUUGGUGGUCGUUUCUUUUAACCCUUGUAUGUCAGAAAAAGUCUGUUGAUCACUUUCAUUUUUUCAAAGGUAUUUUCUCUGGGCUCAUCAGGUUUUCUUUUAGUAUUUCAAAGAUGUUUCUCCAUUGUCUUAUGGCUUGCAUUGUUUCCAGUAAGAAAUUUGCUAUCACUUUUAGAUAAUUUUCUUUUUUUUUUUUAAUUAAAGAAUAGUUGAUUUACAAUGUUGGGCCAGUUUCUGCUGUUCAGCAAAGUGACUCGGUCAUACAUAUUUAUAAGUUCUUUUUGUUUUUUAUGUUAUUUUUCCAUAAGAUUUUUUUAUUGCCUGUUUUGAACUAUUGAUUUUGAUACAUAAUUUUCUCCCUGUUUCUCGUACUUAGUAAACUUGGAUAUGUGGGUUUAUAGUUUUCAUCAGAUUUGAAAAUAUUUUGCCAUACUUUCUUCAAAUAUUUCUUCUGCUUCCUCCCUCUUCUCUCUCAAGGAUUCUAAUCACACACAUAUUAUUAGGAUGCUUGAAGUUAUCCCACAGUUUGCUAAUACCCAAUUUUAUUUUUAGUUCUUUUUUUCUGUGUUUUCAUUUUAGAUAGUUGGGUUUUUUUUGUUUGUUUGUUUGUUUGUUUGUUUGUCUUUUUGCCAUUACUGGGGCUGCUCCCAAGGCAUAUGGAGGUUCCCAGGCUAAGGGUCGAAUCGGAGCUGCAGCCACUGGCCUACACCAGAGCCACAGCAACUCGGGAUCCAAGCCACAUCUGCGACCUACACCACAGCUCACGGCAACGCCAGAUCCUUAACCCACUGAACAAGGCCAGGGAUUGAACCCACAGCUUCAUGGUUCCUAGUUGGAUUUGUUAACCACUGACUGAGCCACGACGGGAACUCCUUAGAUAGUUUUUUUCUAUUGCUGUGUGUCUUCAAGUUCAUUCAUCUUUUCUUCUGCCAUUAAUCACAUUUGGUAUACAUUUGUUUUUAUCUCAACUUGGGUUUUUUUUAAAAAUCUUCUAUGUCUCAACUUUGUAUGCCUGAGGGAUACUGUUUUUAAUCCUGUUCCUUGUAAUAUCUGUGUCCAAUAUCAAUACCCCUCUCAAAAAUUGAUUUAUUUUUCUCAUUAUGGAUCUUUUUUUUUGGUUUGUUUUUUACUUCUUUGAAUGCCUAGUAGUAUUUGACUAGACAUCAGAUGUGAUUCUUACCUUUUCACAGAUGAAUUUUUUCAUACUCUCAUAAAUAAUCUUGAGCUUCAUUCUGGAACACAGUGGAGGUACUCGGAAACAGUUUGAUCCUUUUAGGUCUUUAAAAUUAGUUCUUGGAGUUCCCAUUGUGACUCCAUGAGUUAAGGUCCCAACAUUGUCUCUGUGAGGAUGCAGGUUCGAUCCCUGGCCUCACUCAGUGGGCUGCGGAUCUGACAUUGCCUCAAGCUGUGGUGGAGGUUGCAGAUGUGGCUCGGUUCUGGUGUUGCCAUGGCUGUGGCGUAGGCCACAGCUGCAGCUCCAAUUCAACCCCUGGCCCAGGAACUUCCAUAUGCCACGGGUACGGCCAUAAAAAGAAAAAAGCUAGUUCAGUAGGACCAGAACAACAUUUAGUCUAGAGCUAUUUGUCCUCUACUCCUGAAGCAAGACCCUUUGGCGUCUGCCCAAUGCCCUCUGAAUGAGGAGUUUUUCGCGUCUGGCUAGGAAUGGACCCAAUCCAGGGCCCUGAGUAAGUGUGAGGUACGCUUCUCUCAUCUGUUCAGCUGGUUUUCCUCCUAGCCCUUGGUGGUUUCAUCAGAUGCAUGCACCGAUUCAUACCCUGCUGAGCUCUCAUGCAGGACCUGUUCAGAUCUCUAGGGUUUUCUUUCUUUGUAGGUGUCUCCUUUCCCGUAUGCUGUGAGCUCUAGCCACAGUGUCCUGAGAACACUCCAUGCCGUCUCUUCAACUUGGGGAGUCUUACCAGGCUUUUCACCUGUGUUCUCCUCUUCUUCACUAUGGCCUGGAAACUCGCGGGACAGUCAUUGGGGCAAUCACAGGGCUCACCUCCUUUGUUUCCCAUCUCUCAGAGAUCACUCUGCUGUGUGGCUCAACCUCCAGUGUCGUGGAAAUAGUCGUUUUGUAUAUUUUGUCUUUUUUUUGGGGGGGGUGCCUCAGGUGGGGGCGGGGUGUAAAUUAGGAUUCUGUUAUUCCAUGUGGUUGCAAGUGAAAAAUCUCAAAAUUAGGUUUUUUUUCCCCUUUUAUAUAUUUAAUGUCACUAUUAAGAAAAAAGUUGUACUUAGACCAUUCAUGGGUAGGCUGUUUUGAAGUUUGUGAAGAUCUGAAGUGGGAUAAAGGGAGUGAGGCUUUAGAAAUUAAAACUGACUACACGUUCCCUUCCUUCCCUAGAGAUUCUGAUUUGCUCUUUACUAGGUUGUUGCUCUGCUCCCUCAUUAAUCAGAGUCCCUUUGUUCCUUCUGCAGAGAUUCUUUAAAUGGGCUCUAUGAAUAUAUCACUCAAAAUGCAUGAGGAUGUUAUAAAUAAAAUUGUCAUGGUCUGUAUGUUUUAAUAUAGAUAAUUAAAUCUCUGACAGUACAGUCUUGUAGAGAACACAUAAGGAGAAGACUUACCGUGUGUUAAAGUGUAUUUUAAAGCUAAGAAAUCUAAAUUAUUGAAUUUCUAAUGCUAAGAUAGCCACAGAUUUGUGGGUCAAAAUACAAUGCCCAUGGACAGAUUCAUAAAUGUGUUUUAAACAUUUAGCAUAUGAUGGCAGUAGAUGGCAUUGAGACUACUAGACAACACAUUGAAAAAAAUUACAGUUGGAUAGGUAUCUUCCAAAUAGGUUAAAUGUUAUCUAAAACUAUCAGGGAGUUCCCGUCAUGGUGCAGUGGAAACAAAUCCAACUAGGAACCAUGAGAUUGUGGGUUCGAUCCCUGGCCUCGCUCAUUGGGUUAAGGAUCUGGCAUUCCUAUGAGCUGUGGUGUAGGUUACUGACAUGGCUUAGAUCUGGUGUUGCUCUGGCUGUG
rnacentral:lncRNA from 1 species